rnacentral:lncRNA from 1 species
AAGCACUGUUGUUAUUUUGAUGUUUUUCUAAUAUUAAUAUGCAUAUAUCAUAGGAAGUAUUUAAAUGAAUUUUAAUUUCCCUUUUCAAUCAUCUCCCAUUGAAAGCUGAAUCAUGAGGAUACCAUCUCCAAGCAGGUGGAGUAUUUGAUCCCUUUAGCAAGGCAGUGAUUUUGAAAUUCGGGUUUAGACAAAAAGAUAUUUCAAGCUCCUGAAGAACAAGUUUGAAGGAUUCAGAGCAGAGAAUUGCACCCUGGCAUGAUGCCUAUGCCAGCUGGACUGUGUGAUUUUUGUUCUUUAGUAGAAGGAUAACAUGACAUAGCAGGAAUAAUACUGCCUUUUCUUUCUGGCAUGGAUCAAGAGAAAAGAAAAUACAAGAAAACAGACAGAAGAUCCUAUCUGCGACAAUUAAGAGCACUCUAAGAGGAAAACACAUCCCACCACACAAGGCAAGGUACUUCUAUGGAAGGGUGAGCCCUCACAGAUGGAGCAAUGGGGCGCGCACACCUGAACAAGGGAGGGGAAGGAGUUCUUAUCCCUGAUGCAUGUGACCCCUGCUGCUGUGUCCUUCCCCUAUUGGCUAAGGCUUCUGACAGCUUUGGAGAUUGUGACAUUGGAAUAAAGGAAAAACGUACAGGACUCAUGAAGCGCUGAAAUGUUCACAAAUAUCAAGCAAAAGUCAAUGAAAUUUAUUUUGAGCUAUUUACAUCAUUUAAUAAUUGAGCAAGGUAUACUCCUAUGAACAAAAUUUGGAGCAUGUUUGUCUCUCUCUGCCUGGCGUCUUCAGAAUUUGGAAACUAGUUAGUCAUGGAAAUUUAUUUUGAGCUAUUUACAGCAUUUAAUAAUUGAGCAAGGUAUACUCCUAUGAACAAAAUUUGGAGCAUGUUUGUCUCUCUCUGUCUGCCUGGCAUCUACAGAAUUUGGAAACUAGUUUCGUUCCCAGAUUUCCUAAACUUUCCAGAGAAAAUGGUCUUCUCCCUGGCUCAGCAAGAAGAUGAACUUUAAACACUGAGAAACUGGUCAUCUCCCUGGCUCAACCAGAAGAUGAACUUUAAACACUACUCUCAAUGACUUGAUGUUCCCAUCACUACUCCUGUCAUAAAGGGAGGGGACUCAGAUAUUGAGAAUUUUAUGAUAGUGUGAACUGUCUGGUAUGUCAUUUAAGUAAGCCCGUUGCUGAAAUAUUUUCCAUGUUAUUAGAAAGAGCUGAAGAGAGGGAUUGAGAUGGCUUCUUUAUUUUUUGUCUUUUGGGAAUUAAAGGAACCUGGUUCAACAAGGGCCUACACCUAAGUCUCUUGUUGUACCAGAGUACAAUUUAGGACUGCUCCUGAGGAAGGAAUUAGCUAGAAAUCUAGAGAGUAAGGGUAACAGAUUUACAUAGAAUAACAGCCUCAGUAUUUUUGGUUCCUCUCCAGUAAAGAUCACAAAGAAUAUUGCUAAAUCGCUAAAACACCUUUGCAAUAACGUAAGGGCUUACAACUAUAUACCAAUGUAGCUCAGUUACUAAACUGGAGUAAACUAAUUUCUCUUGUGUAGAAAAAUUGGUUGGCUGUGGUUUUAUAGCAGAUCUGCAAUUAUUAAUAGUUAUGCCAAUAAUCGUUUAACAGUGCAUAUGUUAAUAUAUAUGGAAAGACAAUGUGUAUAGACAGAUGUGUAAAAUUGAAAAAUAAACAUAUAACAAGAGAGAAACAUCUAUCGAACAGACAAUAUACAUACACAUCAAACACAACAGCAGUUUUAGUGACCAUAAUAUUUAUUUCUCAUUUUUACAUUGCUUACUUUAGUGACAACUGAAAAUGACAGUUGGCAAUGCAGCUAACAGUUUCAAUAAAAGUAUAAAACAAAAGACUGUGUACAAAGCACCUGUCUUUCCGCUUUUGUAAUCUUCCGUUGGAAAAAAUUUACACACCUAAGUAACCAUCUGUUUUCUUCAAGAAAAAAUCAUUCUUAUUUCUCUCUCUCAUCUUGAAAACAGCUGUCAGCCAGGAGGGCAGAGCUGAAAUUUAUUGCCACAUCACAUGAAGCAUAGAACAGACUCCACUACUCCUUGAGAUUCAAAACUUUGCCUCUCACAAAGUUACCUUUUAUUUUCCUCUUGUUUGUCACUCAUCUCCCCUAGUGUGCUCUUUUUAUUUCUUUUACUAUUAAUAAUAAAAUCUGU